UGGGGAAUAUUGCACAAUGGGCGCAAGCCUGAUGCAGCAACGCCGCGUGAGGGAUGACGGCCUUCGGGUUGUAAACCUCUUUUUAGUAGGGAAGAAGCGAAAGUGACGGUACCUGCAGAAAAAAGCACCGGCUAACUACGUGCCAGCAGCCGCGGUAAUACGUAGGGUGCGAGCGUUGUCCGGAAUUAUUGGGCGUAAAGAGCUCGUAGGCGGUCUGUCGCGUCUGCUGUGAAAACCCGAGGCUCAACCUCGGGCCUGCAGUGGGUACGGGCAGACUAGAGUGCGGUAGGGGAGAAUGGAAUUCCUGGUGUAGCGGUGGAAUGCGCAGAUAUCAGGAGGAACACCGAUGGCGAAGGCAGUUCUCUGGGCCGUAACUGACGCUGAGGAGCGAAAGCGUGGGGAGCGAACAGGAUUAGAUACCCUGGUAGUCCACGCCGUAAACGUUGGGCGCUAGAUGUGGGGACCAUUCCACGGUUUCCGUGUCGCAGCUAACGCAUUAAGCGCCCCGCCUGGGGAGUACGGCCGCAAGGCUAAAACU
rnacentral:rRNA from 1 species